rnacentral:rRNA from 1 species
AUACGUAGGGGGCAAGCGUUAUCCGGAAUUAUUGGGUGUAAAGGGUGAGUAGGCGGCAUAGUAAGUCAUGUGUGAAAGCCUGGGGCUAAACCUCAGGAUUGCAUAAGAAACUGCUAAGCUAGAGUACAGGAGAGGCAAGUGGAAUUCCUAGUGUAGCGGUGGAAUGCGUAGAUAUUAGGAAGAACACCAGUGGCGAAGGCGACUUGCUGGACUGAAACUGACGCUGAUACACGAAAGCGUGGGGAGCGAACAGGAUUAGAAACCCCGGUAGUCC